UUUCACGUUUUUUUUUUUUUUUUUUUUUAGGAUGGAGACACCCAGGGAGUCGAAAACGGCGACUCCCCGUUCAUAGAGACUUUGAAGAACCUCGAUGACAGGCUAGCAAUUCUAUCCAAAAACAUAAGCCUUUGUUCAUCGACUCUGAGUGAAUUGAAGGACCUCCAGGACGUUUUGGCGAAAAAACGUCUCCAGGAUGCGUCCUCGUCACCUCAGCAGUGAUCCGAAGACCUAAACAUGAACCUAAAUAAACCACCAUGAAGCUCA